rnacentral:rRNA from 1 species
AUUGAACGCUGGCGGCAGGCUUAACACAUGCAAGUCGAGCGGGGUGAUGGUGCUUGCACUAUCACUUAGCGGCGGACGGGUGAGUAAUGCUUAGGAAUCUGCCUAUUAGUGGGGGACAACAUCUCGAAAGGGAUGCUAAUACCGCAUACGUCCUACGGGAGAAAGCAGGGGAUCACUUGUGGCUUUGCGCUAAUAGAUGAGCCUAAGUCGGAUUAGCUAGUUGGUGGGGUAAAGGCCUACCAAGGCGACGAUCUGUAGCGGGUCUGAGAGGAUGAUCCGCCACACUGGGACUGAGACACGGCCCAGACUCCUACGGGAGGCAGCAGUGGGGAAUAUUGGACAAUGGGGGGAACCCUGAUCCAGCCAUGCCGCGUGUGUGAAGAAGGCCUUAUGGUUGUAAAGCACUUUAAGCGAGGAGGAGGCUCUUUUGGUUAAUACCCAAGAUGAGUGGACGUUACUCGCAGAAUAAGCACCGGCUAACUCUGUGCCAGCAGCCGCCGUAA